rnacentral:lncRNA from 1 species
UUGUUAAGUGCAUUCAUAAUCUUGGAGGUUGUUAGAUACCUUAGUUUGAUGUUUAAAGAUACUUGUAUUGUGUUUUCUUACUCAGUUUCAUCAUUGGUACUCUAACUUUGUGCUUUUAUGUAUUAAUCUCCUUAAGAGACCCACUUAUUGUGAUUAGAAGUGGUUUGUGAGGUUAGAAGUGUUUUGUGAAAGAAGAGGUGAUUAAAAAGAGGUAAAUUUUAUUCAAGAGGUUAUCAGACUUGUGAAAAGUCUUAUAAGUAAAGUUGAGAGUGAUUGAAGAGUGUAAAUAAUAGUUUACUCAUUAAGAGGGUAUUCUAGGUUUUUAAGGCAGCAACAUCUUCUUGUUGAUUUUGAGAGUUCAUUCUUCCCUUUUCUUAAUUUUUUUUAAUACACCCCUUCUUUAGACAUGACUGUAAGUAAAGGUGAGGGUUUGA